rnacentral:rRNA from 1 species
AACGAACGCUGGCGGCGUGCCUAACACAUGCAAGUCGAACGGAGAUAAGGGGCUUGCUCCUUAUUUUAGUGGCGCACGGGUGAGUAACGCGUGGAUAAUCUACCUGAUGCUCUGGGAUAACAUCUCGAAAGGGGUGCUAAUACCGGAUAAGCCCACGAGAUCUUCGGAUCAUGCGGGAAAAGGAGGAGACCUUCGGGCCUUCCGACAUCAGAUGAGUCCGCGUCCCAUUAGCUAGUUGGUGGUGUAAUGGACCACAAAGGCUACGAUGGGUAGCUGGUCUGAGAGGAUGAUCAGCCACACUGGAACUGAGACACGGUCCAGACUCCUACGGGAGGCAGCAGUGGGGAAUUUUGCGCAAUGGGGGAAACCCUGACGCAGCAACGCCGCGUGAGUGAUGAAGGCUUUCGGGUCGUAAAGCUCUGUCAGAAGGGAAGAAAUGUAGGUGGCUAAUAUCCAUUCUACUUGACGGUACCUUCAAAGGAAGCACCGGCUAACUCCGUGCCAGCCGCCGCAGUAAAAC